UGGGGAAUAUUGCACAAUGGGCGCAAGCCUGAUGCAGCCAUGCCGCGUGUGUGAAGAAGGCCUUCGGGUUGUAAAGCACUUUCAGCGGGGAGGAAGGCGAUAAGGUUAAUAACCUUGUCGAUUGACGUUACCCGCAGAAGAAGCACCGGCUAACUCCGUGCCAGCAGCCGCGGUAAUACGGAGGGUGCAAGCGUUAAUCGGAAUUACUGGGCGUAAAGCGCACGCAGGCGGUCUGUCAAGUCGGAUGUGAAAUCCCCGGGCUUAACCUGGGAACUGCAUUAGAAACUGGCAGGCUAGAGUCGUGUAGAGGGGGGUAGAAUUCCAGGUGUAGCGGUGCAAUGCGUAGAGAUCUGGAGGAAUACCGGUGGCGAAGGCGGCCCCCUGGACAAAGACUGACGCUCAGGUGCGAAAGCGUGGGGAGCAAACAGG
rnacentral:rRNA from 1 species